CCAAUAGCGUAUAUUAAAGUUGUUGCAGUUAAAAAGCUCGUAGUUGAAUUUCGGGAUCAAAGAAUCGGUCAUGCCUUGGUAUGUACUGGUUUUAUUGGUUCUCACCUUCUAAAGAACCAUGAUGUCAUUCAUUUGAUGUUAUGGGGAAUUAGGACUGUUACCUUGAAAAAAUUAGAGUGUUUAAAGCAAGCUUACGCUUUAAUACAUUAGCAUGGAAUAAUGAAAUAGGACAUCAGAUUCUAUUUUGUUGGUUUCUAGGAUCGAUGUAAUGAUUAAUAGGGAUAGUUGGGGGCAUUAGUAUUCAAUUGUCAGAGGUGAAAUUCUUGGAUUUAUUGAAGACUAACUACUGCGAAAGCAUUUGCCAAGGAUGUUUUCAUUAAUCAAGAACGAAAGUUAGGGGAUCGAAGACGAUCAGAUACCGUCGUAGUCUUAACCAUAAACUAUGCCGACUAGGGAUCGGAUGAUGUUAAUUUUUUAAUGACUCAUUCGGCACCUUACG
rnacentral:misc_RNA from 1 species